rnacentral:rRNA from 1 species
GCAUAUCAAUAAGCGGAGGAAAAGAAACCAACAGGGAUUGCCCUAGUAACGGCGAGUGAAGCGGCAACAGCUCAAAUUUGAAAGCUGGCCUUCGGGUCCGCAUUGUAAUUUGUAGAGGAUGCUUUGGGUAAAACGCCAGUCUAAGUUCCUUGGAACAGGACGUCAUAGAGGGUGAGAAUCCCGUAUGUGACUGGAAAUGUUAACCUAUGUAAAGCUCCUUCGACGAGUCGAGUUGUUUGGGAAUGCAGCUCUAAAUGGGAGGUAAAUUUCUUCUAAAGCUAAAUAUUGGCGAGAGACCGAUAGCGCACAAGUAGAGUGAUCGAAAGAUGAAAAGCACUUUGGAAAGAGAGUUAAAAAGCACGUGAAAUUGUUGAAAGGGAAGCGCUUGCAAUCAGACUUGUUUAAACUGUUCGGCCGGUCUUCUGACCGGUUUACUCAGUUUGGACAGGCCAGCAUCAGUUUCGGCGGCCGGAUAAAGGCUCUGGGAAUGUGGCCUCCACUUCGGUGGAGGUGUUAUAGCCCAGUGUGUAAUACGGCCAGCCGGGACUGAGGUCCGCGCUUCGGCUAGGAUGCUGGCGUAAUGGUUGUAAGCGACCCGUCUUGAAACACGGACC